GUGGGGAAUAUUGGACAAUGGGCGAAAGCCUGAUCCAGCCAUGCCGCGUGUGUGAAGAAGGUCUUCGGAUUGUAAAGCACUUUAAGUUGGGAGGAAGGGCAGUAAGUUAAUACCUUGCUGUUUUGACGUUACCGACAGAAUAAGCACCGGCUAACUUCGUGCCAGAAGCCGCGGUAAUACGAAGGGUGCAAGCGUUAAUCGGAAUUACUGGGCGUAAAGCGCGCGUAGGUGGUUUUGUAAGUUGGAGGUGAAAUCCCCGGGCUCAACCUGGGAACUGCCUCCAAAACUACUGAGCUAGAGUACGGUAGAGGGUAGUGGAAUUUCCUGUGUAGCGGUGAAAUGCGUAGAUAUAGGAAGGAACACCAGUGGCGAAGGCGACUACCUGGACUGAUACUGACACUGAGGUGCGAAAGCGUGGGGAGCAAACAGGAUUAGAAACCCUUGUAGUCC
rnacentral:rRNA from 1 species